UAACACGUGAGCAACCUACCUAGGGUGUGGGGGAUAGCCGGCCCAACGGCCGGGUAAUACCGCAUACGCUCAACACGAGGCAUUUCGAGUUGAGGAAACCUUCGGGGCACCAUGAGGGGCUCGCGGCCUAUCAGCUAGUUGGCGAGGUAAUGGCUCACCAAGGCUACGACGGGUAGCUGGUCUGAGAGGAUGGCCAGCCACAUUGGGACUGAGAAACGGCCCAG
rnacentral:rRNA from 1 species